rnacentral:ncRNA from 1 species
GAGAGCCGGAUGAGGCGAAAGUCUCACGUCCGGUUCGGGGAGGGGUGCUGUGAAAACCCACGUUAGCGAUAACGCAGGGCGUCCCGCACCCACUCCAU